CUGAGCUGCUGAGGACGCUGUGGCUUGCUUUCAUUUUUCAAGGGUUGAAGACUUCAGCCUGGGAAGACGAUGCCAGCUCAUGUCCAUUUCAGGAAAAAAAAAAUAGUAUUCAUGCUGAACGUCACAUGCAGAAACCAGAAAACAGUGAGAUACAAGUCAACUGUGUUCCAGGAUAGAGCUGACAUAUAUCGAAAAGGGGGAAAAAAGAAAGAAAUGGGAUCAUCAGCCUCAAAACCAGCACCAUCACCACCAAAUCCAGGUGAGAGUAU
ensembl:lncRNA